UUCCCAAACGAAGGCAAGAGUUGAGAGCAUGGGCAAGAAGUAGAGUCCCUUCCACUUCUAAGUGAACCUUGAGUCUUGAACUGGAGAAGGUGGCUUCCUUCAAAGGAUGUUUGAAUUGGAGCUCGUACUCAGAGAUGCCAAUAAUCCACAGCAAAUACCUAGUUCAAGGAAAGGGAAUUAAGAGGAGCGUCCCUGCCUACCCUGGCCACCCACCGGGAGACACGGUCCCCACAAGAAGUGCGCUCCAGAAAGCAGGCUAUUACAUUGAGUCUCGCUGUAGUUUUGGGAAUCCCGGAAAGGAAGAACCACCGGCAGAAUUUCUACUGCGCAUGACCAGGGCACAGCCUCCGUCUCUAAUAAGGCUGGUUUGCUCCCAGCUUCCCCGGUGUAGCCGCUGUCGUUACGUCACCGGAAAUGCCCGGAAAUCCUCGGAGUCUGGGCUGAAGGAAAUUCUGGUAGUUAGGAGAAGAAAGCCUUUUACCGCACCUCAGUUUACCGUCCGAGUUUCAUGCUCCAGGACUGAUCACUCAGAUGGCAUCUAUUUCUUUCAGGAGAAACUAUGAUCUCAACAAAGUGCAUUUGGCAGCAUAAGAGUCUACCUUGAUUUUGAAGAUGUGGAGACAGGAGUUGGCAGAAAACCUGCUCUGAAAGCAGAGACCUUUUGAGUUACUCUGGCUGCGAGUCAGAGUCCUGCAGAAAUUGAACCAGAAAAGGAACACAGAAAGAUCAUCUGGUUUGGCUGGCCCUGCGAGCCCGGAUGCCGGCCAGGGAAGAGAAUUUCAGUGCAGAAAAGAAAGAUAAAACUAAAAAAGAUGAUGAGGUUAGUAAUUUGCCUGAAAUCAUGCAGUUGAUAGAAGCAAGAAGCAGGAUUCAGAGCUACGGCUGACUUCAAAGUUUAUGUUCUUUCUGCCAUCUUGGAAUUCUCAGAGUUCAAGGUCAACAAUCUUCAUAGCAUCUUCACUGGGAGCAGAUCACAUCUCAAGAAAUCACUUUCUUUGCUCAUUUCAAAGAAGCAGCUCCUUGUCUACUCAAGCUGGAUCACAAGAUUGCAGCCACUCAGAUCUUCAGGUUCUACCUCUAAUUCUAAUUCUCCUGCUGUUCCAUCCUGUCUAUAGUCACUUACUCCACUCAAGUCUUAAGCCCCUUAAAGUCAUCCAUGCAGGUUGGAAUCAACUUUUUCCAAACUGUAAAUGUUUGAUAUUUUGCCCUCUUCCCAUGAGUCAUGAAUGUUCUUAAUGGUAUGUAGCGUGAGGAAUCCUUUCCAGCAGGUUUUCAACUUAUUUUUCCAAGAUCCAUCAGAGGAAUCAGUGUCUAUGGCAGCUGUCUAUGGCCUUAUGAAACAUAUUUCUGAAAUAAUGUGACUUGAAAGUCAAAAUGACUCCUUGACCUAAGGGCUGCAAAGUGGAUGUUGUAUUAGCAAGCAUGAAGACCACAUUAAUCUCACUGUACUUCUCCAUCAGAGCUCUGGAAUGACCAGGUUCACUGUUGAUGAGCAGUACAAUUUUGAAAAGAAUCUUUCUUUCCUGAACAUCAGUUCUCAAAAGUGAGCUUAAUCUAUUCAGUAAACCAUGUUAUAAAGAGAUGUGUUGUCACCCAGGCUUUGUAGUUCCAUUUCUAGAACACAGGCAGAGUAGAUUUAGUGUAAUUCUUAAAGGCCCCAGGAUUUUCAGAAUGGUGAGUGAGCCGUGGUUUCUACUUAAAGUCAAUUACAUUAUCCCUGACAAGAGUCAGCCUGUCCUUUGAACAUUUGAAGCCAGGCAUUGACAUCUCUCUAGCUAUGAAAGUCCUAGGUGUCAUCUUCUCCCAAUAGAAGGCAGAUUCAUGUAUAUUAAAAAUCUGUUAUUUAUCAUAGCCACCUCCAUUAAUGAUCUUAGCUAGAUCUUCUGGAUAAUUUGCUGUGACUACAUCAGCAUUUGCUGCCCCACCUUGCAUUUUUGUGUCAUGGAGAAGGCUCCUUUGCUUAAACCUCACGAACCAACCUCUGCUAGCUUCAGACUUCUCUUCUGCAGCUUCCUCACAUCUCUCAGCCUUCAUGGAAUUGAAGAAGGUCAGGACACUCCAACUGAUGAGGCUUUGGCUUAAGGGAAUAUUGUGGCUGGUUUGAUCUUCUCUCCAGGCCACUCAGACUUGCUCCAUAUCAGCAAUAAGGCUGUUUCCCCUUUCUUACCAUUCAUAUGCUUCACUAGAGUAGCAUUUUUAAUUUCCUUCAAGAGCUUUCUCUUUGCGUUCACAACUUGGCUAACUGUUUUGCUCAAGAGACCUAGUUUCUGGCCUAUCUCAGCUUCUGACAUGCCUUCCUCACUAGGUUUAAUAAUUUCUAGCUUUUGAUUUAAAGUGGAGAUAUGAGACUCUUCCUUUUCAGUGAACACUUAGAGGCCACUGUAGGGUUAUUAAC